rnacentral:lncRNA from 1 species
ACAGGGGGCACCCCAAAGUGGCAAGAAGGCCCCCAAAGGAUGGAGACAGCACAUCUGGCUUGAAGGUGGAUGUUGAGAUAGCCCGGGAAAAAAGCGGUGAAGCUGUGUUCCUCCCAUGGACAACAAUGCCUUCCCUGCAGCCCCUGCGCCGGGCCCGGGGGAGUUGUGGAGUCCCUGUCUUAUACCAGGAGCCCAGAGUUGAUCUCUGCACCACUCUAUCACUGCUGGGGGUGAGGAAAUGGUGGAACCGGUGAUUCAGGACUGUUUUUUCUCUCUUCUCAGUGCCUCUUUCAGUGAUAUGAAGUUAAAACCAGGAUGGAAGAUCAGUGGAGCCUUCUUUCUGCCAUCUUGCUUUACCCUCACACCCAAGAAUCAGAAUGCAGAACUUUUAAUCAGAAAAGCAUUCAGAACUCAGGAAGGACAUGGAAGACAUCCUGGUUCUCCACGUUUAACAUUGGACUGUUUCUUCAACUUAGGUGCAUAGCACUGACACUAAUCAGGGAUUAUCACCGAUAAUUUGACUUGGACUAUGGAGUUCAUUCAAAUACUUUAUCUAGACAAUUUAAGUACUGGCUUAUUUGUCAUGAAAAUCUGACAAAGUAAUUUCUUGGUAUUCAGUUGAUUUUUACUCUGUUUGGGUUAGCAGUUUAUAAACCAGUCAGUCUCUUCAUUAAAGUUCUGGGAAUUCUUACUCGUUCAAAUGAUAUGAUUCUAAAGUUCUCAAAAAUCUGUAUUCUAGAAUUCUUCUCAGGACCUUUUCCCUCCUUUCAUGAAACUCCUUAAAGAUACAGUAUUCUAUAAUUUUGCAAGCUUGUACAGUUUUCAGAAACUGCCUCAGAAUUAAGCAAUUUACAGUGGAAAUGUUUUUAAAUUGUCAUAGACACAAUUGACAAGAAAAUUUUAUUAUUUACAGGCGUGAGCCACCACACCCAGCCUCUGAAGUUAAUUUAAUAAAAUUUUAUGAAUAAAU